CUGCAAUGAGGACUGACAGCACCGAAUGACGCAACUCAACCCCGUCGUGUAUAAAUACACCUGUAGCUUAUAUCGUUUGUAUUAUCCAUGGAAUCGUUAUGUGUGUGCACAUGCAUACACUCGCAUAUCGUACGUAGAUUUGAAAAAAAGUCUUCAAACAAGUGGGAAGGCUCGAUAGGAUUUUGCCAAUGGCAUCGGGAUCGUACAGCGAGAAUGAUGAUGCGAAUGUCUAAUGAAGUCUUCGAAGAUUAAAUUUCAAACAACGCGAACGAGAGGUCGGUGAUGUUCACCGAACGUGCCAAUACAAAAGCAGCGUCAUCCGAUGGGACAGGUGAUAUACGAGAGAAAAUAAGUAUAUCAUCGGCGUCUAAUCGCAUCGAUAUUAAGGAUAGGUAAUGGGUGUUGAGCUCCGGUAUGUAUACAUACAUAUGUAUGUAAGAUUUUAUGGAAGAAAAGUGGCAUCGAUGACGCAGCGCAGCUCUGCCAUUUUUUCAGAUUUCGCACGACCGCGAGGAUUGACGUCACUGAAUCUCCACCUCGAGUGAUCCGUUCAUACGGGCGUGUAUGUGAGUUGAGAUAAUCACAAUAUUACGCAUUUGCGGAUUACGGUGAUAAUUGGCACGAUAGAUGCGAUACGCGUAUCAUCAACAGGUAUACCUAUGAACGUGCAGGUUCCACCGAUGCGCAGGGUGCUGGAAUACGCGAGAAUUAAACGGCGUAUACCGAGGUGCAUACGCGCCAUAGGACUCGCGGGCGUCGUCCGUAUGCAGGGCAUGGAAAAAACCUGUCGAUCGCAAGGAGACGAGCUCCUAUAAAUCAAAUAAUACUUGUAAAUUGCACUACCUCGUACUCGUACGCGUAUACACAAUGCGUUAUACCUCUGAGCUGUACGGUACGUGUGCCAUUAUUGUUCGAGAAUUGGCGUCCGAAUUCGGUGAAUUGGAAGUCUAAGUCGAACCGAAUCGGCCUUGCCGGGGUAAUUUGUAUAUCCUCAUGCGUGUGUAUUUGUUGCGCACGCGGCGACUCGAUUCUUCCCUUCUAUCGAUCCUUUUUUCUGCCGAUGCGCAUAUUCUCUGUCGUGCUCGCAAACACCGGCUGUACGGGUAUACAAUCGUACCGAUAAUGACCAAGUUAUGAAAAUUCACGAACGAAUCGGGAUUCGAAGGAAAGAACUACCUUCGGCUGUAACUCGCUGCACAUGAUCACGAGCGCCUUCUCGCAGUUAAUUAAAUCUGCUUAGCAUGCAUGUAGUUUCCGUCUGUUGCACCUGUACUUUUGCAUCCACGUACAGGUAUACAUACGGGUGUGGGUAUAGAUGCGUUUCAUUCGCCAUGCCCAUUGAGCCCUCAUUUAUACUCGGCUUUAUACCUUUCGUACUCUUCUCCUAACGCAGUUCGGUGGCAACGCACGAAGAUCUGAAAUCUAUCCAUCCGGAUCAUCUAUGAGUAUCAAUAUUGACUCAAGACCAAACCCCGUUGCUGUAACUUUCGCAUUAGCCAUUGGCAUACGUUGUGUAUACUUGGGCGAUGUAUACGUAUCCUACGUGCGUACGUAGUACAUACGUAGCUGCAUCGAGUCACGUCAAACGAAGCGUCGAAUCCACCGGAAGCCUUGCGGCAGCGCGCUUUCGUUCAGGAAAUGAAACCGUUGUUAUCAACUGAUAUCGCGUACGACACGGUACGCGCUAUCCGAUUUCAUCCGGUAUAGGUAGCAGGAAAAAUUGCUCUACACUAGAACGUUCAUGCGAACUCAGAAAUACGUACGAUAUGCAGUUCCAAAGAUGUAUUCUGCUGUUUAUACGUAUGUAUUUACAUGAUCAGCCAUUGUGCCUUCCUUCAAAAUCUCAUUUCCAGGAGAAAAAUCCGAGUCAUUUCGAAUGGAUAAAAAUGGAGUAUGAAAUAAAAUCACAUGGUCCUCGGGUAUUUUGUCAGAAGGUGGUCUGGCAUACCCCCCAUCGGGAGGAAGAGAUUGGAUCUUCGACACUGGAAGUUCACGGAUGGAUAAGAGGAAUGCCUCGCGAUUGUUUUUGCCACAUCUAUAUUUAGUAGAACCGGUUUGACAUUGCGAAUUAUACAUAUCGCGUGUCAACAAAGUACGUAUCUACCUCCAGAUAUAAUACGCAGGUAUAAUCGUAAAAAUCGAGUGUCUUGCAAAAGUCGUUUGACAAGGGCAUUUGUUUCGAUACAUACCCUCACGUAUGAAAGGCAUGAUACCUGUGUUUCUUCGAUAAAUUAUGACAAUAACGUCUCAGAGAAUCCUUGCUUGGAUAUCCGAUAUAUGAACUUUUCCUCAUGAUUCAUUUUUCACUCUUCGGUUUUCAGUUAAUCAUUGAUCCCAGAAUUCGCUCAAGAGCCCAUACCGAUGGAGCGUUUGGAAGAAUAUGGCUACGAUUUGAUUGUCAGAUCAAAUAUUUUACGUGUCCAUGUGAUAUUUACACUCGGAUAUCAUGUAGUCAAAAGAAAACGUACCUCGGCAUGAUGUAGAUCGAGGGUUUGCAGGUCGGCAAACUUGGCGAGAUAAUCAACGCUGUUUUCUCCCAUCAAGCCCUGCAUUUGCGACACGACCUGAAAAGUUUUUGGUCUGGAUUAACGAACAAGUCCCAUGAAUCAUUGGAGAUUUUAAAUCAUCGCAAGGUAUUCCCGAGUGUUCCGUUCUAAAGGGCAUGGUUUCACGAUAGUUGGAUUAUAAAUGAGAUUAUAGAAAGCCACGCGAGUCGUUGUCACUGUCGUAAGAUCUGUUGUUCUCAGUGCAAUAAAGGGAGUGUUCCUCUGCCAA